CGCGUUACGAUUCGCCCCUUGAGUUUGAUCAUGGACUCAGGAUGAACGCCGGCGGCGUGCCUAACACAUGCAAGUCGAGCGAUCUUCUUCGGAAGAGAGCGGCGGACGGGUGAGUAACGCGUGGGUAACCUGCCUCAUACACAUGGAUAACAUACCGAAAGGUAUGCUAAUACAAGAUGAUAUAAGAGAUUCGCAUGGAUUUCUUAUCAAAGCUCCGGCGGUAUGAGAUGGACCCGCGUCUGAUUAGCUAGUUGGUAAGGUAACGGCUUACCAAGGCGACGAUCAGUAGCCGACCUGAGAGGGUGAUCGGCCACAUUGGAACUGAGACACGGUCCAAACUCCUACGGGAGGCAGCAGUGGGGAAUAUUGCACAAUGGGCGAAAGCCUGAUGCAGCAACGCCGCGUGAGCGAUGAAGGCCUUCGGGUCGUAAAGCUCUGUCCCCAAGGAGGAUAAUGACGGUACUUGAGGAGGAAGCCCCGGCUAACUACGUGCCAGCAGCCGCGGUAAUACGUAGGGGGCUAGCGUUAUCCGGAUUUACUGGGCGUAAAGGGUGCGUAGGUGGUUUCUUAAGUCAGGAGUGAAAGGCUACGGCUCAACCGUAGUAAGCUCUUGAAACUGGGAAACUUGAGUGCAGGAGAGGAAAGUGGAAUUCCUAGUGUAGCGGUGAAAUGCGUAGAUAUUAGGAGGAACACCAGUAGCGAAGGCGGCUUUCUGGACUGUAACUGACACUGAGGCACGAAAGCGUGGGGAGCAAACAGGAUUAGAUACCCUGGUAGUCCACGCCGUAAACGAUGAGUACUAGGUGUCGGGGGUUACCCCCCUCGGUGCCGCAGCUAACGCAUUAAGUAC
rnacentral:rRNA from 1 species